rnacentral:rRNA from 1 species
CCUACGGGAGGCAGCAGUGAGGAAUAUUGGACAAUGGGCGCAAGCCUGAUCCAGCGACGCCGCGUGAGUGAUGAAGGCCUUUGGGUCGUAAAGCUCUGUCAGCAGGGAAGAACGGCNGCAUACGUGAUACNNCUAGGUAACAUCNCAANAUUCUGAGAUACGAUCACUCAUUG